CAGUAGCAGUCAUAUAAGUUAAUCAGAUUUCAUCCUUAUUACAUAACAUCAAUUACAUGAAGUUACAUAUCUUUGACUUUGGUAUACAAAGUAUUGUCCGAAUUACUCUUGUUAUUAUUUCCAUUCCUCCAAUCAUCCAUGUUGGGGAGUUCUUCAUAGGUAGAAGAGUCAUCAUGAUGAUUUGUAUCGAUAGUACUUGUGUUUCUCCUUGUUAUAGUGUGCCUUUAAAUGUGUCCAGAACAUCCUCCAAAAGGACAAAAAGAUAUAAGAUAUUCUCCAAUAAUUUACAGGGGGAUGAAAUAGAAACGAAAUUAAAAUUUCUUUCUAUCAUUAUUUCUAUGUAUUAACAUUGUGGAAAAAAGAGCACCUAAGUAUAUCUAUUUGUAUACAUGUAUUAUGUAUGUGUAUGUGUCUAUACACACAUAAACAUAGACAUAACUUACAUUGGAAUCUUUCUUUCAUAAUCCUAGCAAUCGUCACCUACUUAUCACUUAGACAUAGAAUAACUUUGAAUUACUUCCCUGAGAGACUCAAGAGUUGCUAUUGAGUUCUGUUUUUUUUCCUGGUAGUUAUUAUUUAGAUCUGCCUUGCAAUUAAAAUUCCGUUGACUUCAAGGAUUUUUUUCAUGUAGCCUUUAACUCUAAAUCGACCUCAUUGAAUUUGAACUGUGAUGCUCAGUUUUUUCCCUCUCGAUUAACUUUGAGUUCUUGCACUUACCAGCUUAAUUGAAGCUUUCACUUGGAUUCCUAAAACUCUUCUAACACCGAAUUUUGAGUAGACAUUCGCAAUCUGGUUCCUAAUUCUGAGUUUGCAGCGAGAUGUAUGGUGGGCUCCCAAUUUCUAAAUAUAUCCCAGAGAUGUUCUGAGGACCAAGUUUCAAAUCAGAUAUCCUAAUCCGAGUCCUAGGUCCGAGUUUGCUUUGAGUGAGAGUUCUAAUCUUCUUUCCGAGGUCUAAGUUUAUGUAGCAGCAAGGUGCAGAUUUCCAAAUGCAGUCCACAGUUCAAAUUUGUCCCUGACAGGGUAUCCAAUCUACAGUCUAAAUUUCACAGUAAAAUCUUAGGGUCUGAGUUCUGAAACAAAAGUUCCUAACAGCAUUCCAAUGUCUGAGAUUCCUCAAACACUUUCCUAAGGCCCGAUUUUCAGUCCGAAAUGAUGACCAAUAAGAUGAAAGGCUACAUUUGCAUAACAGGAGGCUAAUUGCCAAUGGAUUUGUGAGGAAUCCAAAAUUCCUGAAAGGAGCAUAUCAACUAAAUUUCCUCAAAGAUGGAUAACACCAAAAGGAGUCAGAGAGAUGAAAAGAUUGAAGAGAUAGAUACCACCGAUGGAGCCAAAAGAUGGAGAAUCUAGCGCACAGGUUGAAGGUAUGAUCACAACAAGGAGCAAUUUCUAGAAAGGAGCUGGAGGGUGAAGGAUACAGAGCAUGUGAUCAAAGUGAAGAGGCAAAUUUGCAGAAAAGUUACAGGAAGAGGGAUCAUCUGUAGAGGAGUUAAAAAUUUAAAGAAGAUUGAGAGCAACAUGCUCACAUAAACGGCUCUGAUGGUGGGAUCUAUAAGAUUUGCCGAUGAAGAAUGCGUUUCAGAGCCAAAGACAAAGUAUGAAAAUGAAAUAUCACUACCACAGUGCAGAAAGCUAACCCAUGCCAUUUCCAGAAUUCUAGAAGAGAGUGACAAACUAUAGAGGUGCUACAGGAAGCAUACGGAAAUAGAGGAGGAACAACUAGAGAUGGCUGGAAUAUGAUUUGUUGUAAUGGCCUUUAAUUUGUUGUAAAAUGACAACUUUUGGGCCCAAUUUAAUACAACACAAGAAAAGCCAAAAGUUAGUUAUUUAUCUAGCUGCCUAUUUUUUCUUUUGUGACAAAAGCUGUUAUUUUGUCUUGUAGUGGGAGCAGUUGAAAAGUGGUUGAAAGUUGUUGAAAUCAUUAACUGAAAGUUAUUAGGGUUUCUAGAGGGCAAAUCUAGGCCAUUGAAUGGAUUAAAUCCUGGUCAUUGAUUCAAAAUGUAAAGUCUAUAAAAGGCCAGUGCCUCUGUCAUUUUAAGGGAUUAGAAGUUAGAAUUAGAGUUAGAAGUAGCAGUAGCUAGCAAGUAGAAUUAGAGUAGAGUAGGAAUUGUUGAACAUAGAUUGUUGUAAUAGCAGUUGAAGCAAAUGAAUCAAGCAUUGAAGUAUAAUGUUUUGCUAGUUACCUUCACUUGUUUG